UGUUAUGCAUGCUUUCCUUUGUUCUGUAACAUUUUGGCGGGAAUGUCAAAUCCACUAUAAAACUUAUAAUUAAUUAUACGGAAAAGACUAUCUAUCAAAAUUCGCGUAGAAAAAAUCCAGUGUAUAUGCUGGGAUUCGAACUCAAGACCUUUAGCAUAUCAAGCCACGACACAUACCACUACACCAGGAGGACUGGAUACGAACUCACAGUAAUCUAACAUACUUAAAAGAAGCAAGAUCUUUUUAUAAGUGGGGCGAGUUUGCAGACCUUUAUUCAGUGGGGUUUAAACCUUUUUCGUUAAUAAGUGAGUUAUCAGACUGAUUGUUCAAUUUGAUUUUACACUUUUUCAAAAGUGGGGCGAGUCAGUAAACAAGAGUACGGCGAUUCUUUUAUAAAGUGGCGAUAUAGUGUGGGCCGAUAGGCAAGUGGGGCGAGUUGACAUUGUUUGAUAUCUACUCAUCGUGUUCGGGGGUCAUAAAGGGUAUACAUCAUAUAGUAAUAUAUAAAGUAUAUUAUAAUGGUUGUGUGGCGUUCUAAACUAGAUUUUAUAAAUUGCAAAUGUUUUUUCGUCCAAUCUAAAAGAGCUUGGAUGUAAAAUAG
rnacentral:lncRNA from 1 species